AACGAUACAACAGUGAUUUUUUGUGGAUAUCUAGAUGUAACUUCAUAAAAACGAGCGACAGAAAAUAGAACAUUUUCUAAGCUAUCCCGGGCGAAUUCUUCGGUAGUCCGUCUGGCAGCCAAACCUUCAUCACUAUUAAUUUGCAUAGAUAAAGAAUAAUAAGAUUGGGCUUCUGAAGAAGGACCAGCACCGUUUCUAGUUUGACCUCCGGAAAAAACCAACAAAGAGGAAUCAUCUUGAGAUAACAAGUCUAAACCCGAUCGUACAUGUUGUGCAAAUACUUUUCCUUCCCCCUUUUGGUAGGGCUCAAGAAUCCAUUCUGAAUCGUCUUCCCCAUUAGUAGACCCGCCUAACCAAACCGCAUGACCGGCAACAAUAAUCAAGUGUGUGAGGUUUUUCAAAGGUUGUGCUCCUACCAAGGAAGUAGGACUAAAGCAUUGAAGACUGGGAUGGCUCAUAGUAGAAAAUAUAGUAAAAAAUAUGCAAAGCAAUAUUAGAGAAGCAUAAAGUGCUAUUCCAGUUCGAGACUUUGGGGAAAGAACUCGCCAAAAUCUAGACGAUGAGGCGGUUUGGGUAGCAUAAAAAGGCAAUUGAAUAGUUAAGCGUUUAUUUAACAUUUAAAGACCCAGUAGAAUCCCAACCUGGGUGAAGGUCUUUGGCAAGACAAAUAUGAAAAUAAAAAGUUGCUGUAGCGCGGUAGCGUAUUAUCAGUGAUACCCAGGAUACCC